rnacentral:lncRNA from 1 species
CUGGGAUGACUUUAGCAUCUAACUGCCAUUUAAGGUAUAGCUCUAUGGAAAUUAUUUGACUCAAUCUUGGGCCCUGAGCGCCUGCCCUCUUAUUAUCCAUGUGAACAAAGAAAUAACCUAUACCAUGUCUAAAAUAAUAGUGGAGGAGAGGGAGGAGAGAGAGAGAAAAGAAGAAUGAAGAGUAGGAGGAGGAGAAGGUGGGGGAGCAGGAGGAGGCAGCUAAUUUAUCCACAUCUUCCCCACCUCCAUGCUCUCCUUUGCUUUUUUUCCCUCCCUAGAGGCAAAUAAAGCUGAACAUAAUGCACGAAUGAUUGCCAAUUGGUAGUAUUAUUUAAAUUUAAGAAAUUUUUUGGUCAUUAAUCCUGUAAAUGUGUCUAUUCUUAGAUGGCUGCAAUUACCAAUUUGCUGCUUGUCAUAAUAGUCAUUAGGAGCAGAAAAUAUUAUCUAAUCACUUACGGGGAAGAAAAUAAUCUGGGAACUUUAAUGCUUUUCCCUAUAGUGUUAGGACCAAGUGUGGUCUGAGCUCAAGUGCCUAACAGGAUCUGAGGUGGCUCAGGGCUCUGUGGGGGAGCCACGAAGGGACUAGCAGUAAAUACUUACAAGAAUUAAACUCAUUUAAAAAUUUUUUUUUCAAAUUAUUUAUUUAUUUAUUUAUUAUUAGUUGUUCAAAACAUUACAAAGCUCUUGACAUAUCAUAUUUCAUACAUUUGAUUCAAACGGAUUAUGAACCCCCAUUUUUACCCCGUAUACAUAUUGCAGAUUCACAUCGGUUACACAUCCACUUUUUUACAUACUGCCAUACUAGUGUAUGUUGUAUUCUGCUGUGACGUGGCUUCUUCAUGGGCAGAAUUAGAGGGUGAGAUGGGAUCAGAACUUUCCAAAUAAGGAAAACAAGAACAAGUAGAGCUUACACUUGUAAAGCUAAAUUUGCUAUAAAGAACUUUCCUUUAUGUCAAGAUAAUAUUCUGGUGGUGAGUGAUAAUAGAUAGCAACUUAAAAAAAUAUUGGAUUAGCAGAGUAGAAGUAGUGAGCAACUUGAUGCCAGUCCAUAAUUUACUUCGGUGCUCUCUGGCCACUCUUUUCCCCGAUGUGGGUCCUAGGCAAACAUUUCCGUAGUACUCUUGAACUUUCAUGUAUUUAAAAGUGAUUUGUUUGCUGGGGGCAUGACUUUAUUCCAUGUUGUCCUUCAAGGGGAUUUGUAUUCACCCUUCAAGACUCAGACAGAGGUCACUUUCUUCAAGAAGCCUGUCCUGGAACUUUACCCAGAUUCAUUCCUACCAUGGUAUCUGUUUCUUCUAUGUUGUUGUGGCUCUGACUGCAUAUUUAUCGUGUCACCUGGGAUCUUGUGCUGUAAUUUUAUUUUGCAUUUCUGUUUCUCCCAUAAGAUAAGGGUAUCUUGAACAGGGUCGGGUGACAAUCUUUUUAUUUCUCUUCAUUGUAUCCCCAGGUACUAGCCCUGGGCCUGAUAUAUAAGAGUCCUGUCAAUCAGGGCUCAGCUGAAGACACUUGGAACACUCAAAUCUGGGUGAUAUGAAGAGAUUUUAAUAGGGAUUGUUUGCAAAGGUGCAGGGAAACCACAGCAAUAGGGUAAGGACCUGCAUCUAGAAAGAACAGUUCUCCAUAAUCAUCAGCUCCACAUCUGGAGUGGGGGCAGGGAGGAUGAUGUGGAGAGAGCAGCUGGCAGGAACUGAGACCCUCAAGGGAUUCAGCCAGAUGAUGAGCAGGGAGACAAUCAGGGAUUUCCCUUCCUCACUCUAGUCUACAGCAGGGACUUCCCCCUGGUUGGAACACAGUCCUUGAGGUAUCUGGGAAAGAAUAAAGCAAAGUUUUCAAUUUCUAUCAGCCCUGUGCUUCUUCAAAAUGCAACGUUUUUUCAGACCUGGGCCAUAUGAGUCAUUGCAUUACACUAAUCAGUUAAUUCCAUUUUACAGAUGAAAAAUCAGAGACUCAGACAUGUUAAGAAACUUGCCCAAGAUUUCACGUUUUGUGGUAAAACAAACCAAGCUGGCUUGUGUAGAAAUAAAAAUGUAUAUGCUUUGAUGACAUGAAAAAGAAAUUUCAAAAACAUCAUAAGAGUUCAAUUACAAAGUGAAAAGUAUUAACAUUUUAAAUUCUGAUAGUGCCAAACAGAUCUUCCUGUCAGUCAAGAUAAGACAAAUAAUGUGGCCAUGAGCACCCCAAAUCAUCUCCCUGUUUUAAAAGAACAAAGCCAGCUUACUUUCUCCCUCCCUCCCUCCCUUCCUUCUUUUCUUUCUUCUUCCUCUCUCUCUCUCUCUCUUUCUCUCUUUCUUUUUUGGCACAGAUAAAUUUAUUUAGGAAAGGAAACACAUUCAAGGGAGAAUGUGGGAAACAGCAAGAUCAAGAAACAACCACAAAGAAUUAUUCCUUGAUUUGCUUCAUGUCCAUCAUGGAUUCUGGGGAUUCUGUUCUACAUUGUCCUCUGUUAUCCAGGAGGACAAUUCACCCACAAUAGAGAGCAAUUAUGCUCACCACAGCACAGAGAUCAUAAAAGAAAAUGUGUUGAAUCACACACUGGUCCUUAAACUUUCUGCCCAGAGGUGAUACCUUCAUAUUUGAUUGCUCUAAGCAAGCGACAUGGGGGCAGAUGGGUGCAAUCAUUCCAUGUGCGCAGAAGAGAAAGCAUCUCUAGUGAUUACUGUUUUCUGCAGCGACCACGACAAUUCACCUGGACCCUAAAUUUAUGCCUAAUCUGCAGAGACAGGUGGGCUAGAUGUGGUGCUCUCAGAAACCCUCCUCUCUCCGAUGAAGUAUUCAUUUCUUUGAUGUGCGACUGCGUUUCUGCUGACCCAGGGCAGGGAACUAGACUGUACUGGGUGCUGAGGACCCAGGUGCUGCUGAGGCACAUGUUUGAUGCUGGUCUCAGAGAUCUGCCAACUAGCGUCAUGAACUUUGCUAACAGUCUGAUGCUAAGAGUCUUUGCUUCAGUCAUUCUGCAUCCUGCUGUUUGAAAUGGUAUUAAGGUUCUGAUCUAUUUUAUAAUUUUUUUUCUUUCUAAGGACAAUUUGUUGUUUUUGCUGACAUUUAAAGAAAGGAGUAAAAAUUUUUAUCUGGGAAAUCCUCUUAUAAACAUGUCCCUGGAUCUGAACAUUUGCCCAAAGGGGGCUUCCCUUCUCUCUAGAGAUGCUGCAGGAGUAGGAUUUGGGGCUACAGUUCAGCAGUGGGACCAGGAAAAAGGGAUCCAUUCACCUGAAGGCAGGUUUGAUAGUAGUGACAGAGUCAAGGCAGGAUGCAUUGAUUUGUUUGUGUCCAUGCAGGGACUUGAGGACAAACAGUGCAUGUGGUUUCGAUUAAUAUUUUUUUGUCCCCAGUGGCGUAUUGAGGUCCAGGAGUUCUGGCUUCCUUGUCACAGAACAAGGCAGGCAGCAAUGGUAUAUUCUGCCCUUAAUUUGCAGAGCUUGUAAAAUUCAGGAAACAAGAAUUGACCACAACAUCCAAUAUUACCUCGGGACAGCAUGUAAAUUAUAUCCCAGUGUUCCUCUUCAUCUCCAAAGAUCUUUGUUGGAAGGACUAGGUGAUUCAGCAGAGCUGGCUGGGGACAGAGAGUUGCAGGAACAAUGCAGCCAACUGUGGUUACUGGCCUGGAAAUUAGCAGAAGUCACUGCCGCUCCAGGUGGCUAAUGGUGUGCAGGUGUAGGGUGACAGGAGAAGCCCCUGUUCAAAUUGGGAGCACUUAUUGGGUUAUUUGUUUUUAUUUUUGGCUCAAAAUCAGCAUGACCUAUAAACUUUCAAAAAGGCAUCAAAGCAGGAAAAAUGCAAUAUUGCUACACAGAGUUAGGUGAACUGUGGGUGAAACCCAGCUUGCAGAGACAGUGUUUUGGUGCUCACAAAGUGUUUCUUUUAAACAGUGGCUGUCAAACAAACAAAACAAAACAAAACAAAAAAUAAUCCAUCAGAGAUUUCACAUAAAAAUCAGCACUCCUUUUUCCUACUAAAAGUAUUAAUUUCUUUGUCAAUAUUGAGCCUUAGUUCCACAUGGCAGCCUUCUCAUAGAGCUCAGUGGCCAUUCACCCCCCAGAUGAGGUGUACAUAUGUACUCAAACAUUUGCCUCAGUCUUCACUCCUCCGUAUUGCUUCACACCUUGCCAUCUCCACUCAUUUAUGGGACCACCUAAUCCUGUAGGCAUUUGAAUAUUUGUCCUCUAUCAUAAGCAGUGGUAUAAAUUUAAGAUAAUUUGGGGAAAAAAACUUCAUGAGAUUAAUUAAUUGCAGUCAUUUGGCACAAAGCCCAAAGGAGACCACAAAACCUCAUGAAUAAGAAUCUCACUACUUGACUGAACCUUGAUUUUUCUGGUAGUGGUCUAGGGUCAAGGCUUAGAAAUCAUUUCAUAGCUCUUCUGGCAACAUAGUGCCUAGCUCAUUCUAUUAGUUCAGAAAUGGGUGGGGAAGCUGCAUUAUUUUUGCUUUACAGAUAAAGAAACUAAGGCUCAGAGGUUAAGUUACUCAUUCCAGGCCACUCAGCAAGGAAAUGAGAAUUGUUUGUGGAUCUCUGGGUCCAGGCUUCUCUUUCCAUCAUAAUCAGUCCAAAUCUGUGCUGAUCUUUAUUUAAGAAUUUUUCUUUAAAAUUGAAUAUACACACAAAGGAAUUGGUUUGUAUUCCAUUAUAAUGGAAACUUGCAUAAUUGGUGGUGAAUUGGUAACUUUAAAUGUAUUGAAUGUAUUGGUAUACAGGAUCCUCUAACCUUUUAUUGUCUCUUUCCUCUUCUUCCCUACUCCAAGAAGAGAAAGGGGAGGGGGAAGGAGAGAGAGAGAGAGAGAGAGAGAGAGAGAGAGAGAGAGAGAGAGAGAGAGAGAGAAUGUGAAUAUACUAGUAGCUGGCAAAGCCCUCUGGGGGAAACACAGCUUAUUAUAGAUGGAAGGUAAGUUAUUUCCUGCAUGUUUGGAGUCAGUCUUUGAAGGAGUCUUUCUCUACAGGUCUUCAGAUAUGCCCUCUUAUUCCACAAGUAAAGAGAGAUAAAGUGGGAUGUCACUAUGUAUCAUGCUUACCUGCCAACUUCUCCUUUGAGUACAUUGUAGGUAUGAAGGAAAGGCCAGGUGGUCUGGAGAGAGUUUCGUUCACUAUAAAGAGCUUAUAUUCUGUGAUCUUCACCUACUAUCUCUGGGUUGGGGGCAGGGAGAGAGAGAGAAUGAGAGAAAGGUGGAAGUUUGGAAGGAAGCACGAUUUUAAGUCAUGUGUGCUUAACUGCUAUGACAGACAUUGGACUGGACUGGGUGCUGUCGUCAAGGUAGAGAAGGGAGAUAUGGGGUCUCAGACGGGGGAACAAGAUGCACAGAGGAAGACUCAGACUUUCUGGUAGCAGGUCAGAGAAUAGAGAAGCUGGAAAGUAGGCUGUGGAAGUAAUAGGAUCUAUGUAUCCUAGAAAUUUAGAGUAGAACAAACCAACAACAACAGGAGCAAAUGCCUGAAAAGGGUCUUUCUCAAAAUAUUUUUUCUGCAUUUGAUAGAAACCAAGCUUGAGACAGUGCAAUCAAACCAGGAGAGUUCAUCGGUUCACAUUCUUGGAAAGCCCAGUACGUAUGGCAUUGGGGAAGCUGGGUGCGAAAACUGAAGCAGAGCCACCAGGAUUGCCUAUUGGUUCUGCUUUCAUUCAUGUUCUCGGCUAUCAUGGUGUCCUUCAGCAAGCAGUCUCACAGGAAAUGUGCUUCCUCUUCUAAUGUCUCCAAAACUCUGAGAGCUGAAGCCUACUGCCUCUUACAGCAGUGGGUCAUCUGUAUUCCAAUAAUUAAUAAUUUCAACAAUUAUCCCAAUAAACCAAGUUCAUUGUGUGCCAACCUCCCCUUUCCUUUUCGGUGUAAAAAUGAAAAUGACCAAGUAUUUAAUUGUACCCUGGAAAGAAUAUUAUCCUUUAUUGAGUCUUUGCAAUGGCAUCCUAAGGCUAUGGCUGCUGUGCUCAGAUGGGAUAAAAGUUUUCUCUUACU